AUUACAUGGAUGCUGUUCAAAAAUGCAGGACCAGCACUGCUACUCAGCUGUGCCUGCAGCCUCGAGGUCAAGAGCAAGUGGCUAUUUCUACACUCAGUGUUCAGAAGUGAGUCAGCACCAAGAAUGGAUUGGAGCCUGACACUU